AGGGAGACAACAAAAUGUUUAAUAUUAUUAUUUUGUCACCUUAGGUCGAUCGGUAUCUCACGUUUUUAAUUUAUUAAGAAUUUCAUUUCCUAAGUUUUUCUAGGUCACACCCAUUAUUUUUCCUGGGCCAUUAGCUCAGGUGGUUAGAGCGCACCCCUGAUAAGGGUGAGGUCCCUGGUUCAAGUCCAGGAUGGCCCAUAUCUCUAUGUUGGGGGUAUAGCUCAGUUGGUAGAGCGCCUGCUUUGCAAGCAGGAUGUCAGCGGUUCGAGUCCGCUUACCUCCACUGAUUACCACCUCUUCCAUAACCGGUAGAAAGGAAAUGUUUUGAGUUGUGAUCAAAUUCUGAAAGAAUCUAGCUUCCUAAUGAAAUCAUUAAGAUGCUGGACUCAUUGAAUUAAUUUCAUUGUUUUCAGAGAACCUUGACAACUGCAUAGAUUAUUUUUAAAGACAAUAAGCAUCUCUAAUGAUGCAGAUUUAUUAUUUGUGCGAAAGCAUUAACAACAAUUCUAUUAAGCUGAUGCUUCAAUUUUGAAGUUAUU
rnacentral:tRNA from 1 species